GACGAACGCUGGCGGCGUGCUUAACACAUGCAAGUCGAACGGAAAGGCCCUGCUUUUGUGGGGUGCUCGAGUGGCGAACGGGUGAGUAACACGUGAGUAACCUGCCCUUGACUUUGGGAUAACUUCAGGAAACUGGGGCUAAUACCGGAUAGGAUCUCCUGCUGCAUGGUGGGGGUUGGAAAGUUUCGGCGGUUGGGGAUGGACUCGCGGCUUAUCAGCUUGUUGGUGGGGUAGUGGCUUACCAAGGCUUUGACGGGUAGCCGGCCUGAGAGGGUGACCGGCCACAUUGGGACUGAGGGACGGCCCAGACUGCUACGGGAGGCAGCAGUGGGGAAUAUUGCACAAUGGGCGGAAGCCUGAUGCAGCAACGCCGCGGGCGGGAUGACGGCCUUCGGGUUGUAAACCGCUUUCGCCUGUGACGAAGCGUGAGUGACGGUAAUGGGUAAAGAAGCACCGGCUAACUACGUG
rnacentral:rRNA from 1 species